UACCAGCACCCCGAGUGGUCGGGACGAUUAUUGGGCCUAAAGCAUCCGCAGCCGGUCCUGCAAGUCUUCCGUUAAAUCCAGCUGCUCAACAGAUGGGCUGCGGAGGAUACUACAGGGCUAGGAGGCGGGAGAGGCAAGCGGUACUUUAUGGGUAGGGGUAAAAUCCGUUGAUCCAUAGAAGACCACCAGUGGCGAAGGCGGCUUGCCAGAACGCGCUCGACGGUGAGGGAUGAAAGCUGGGGGAGCAAACCGG
rnacentral:rRNA from 1 species